rnacentral:rRNA from 1 species
UACGUAGGGGGCAAGCGUUUGUCCGGAUUUAUUGGGCGUAAAGAGCUCGUAGGCGGCUUGUCGCGUCGUCCGUGAAAACCCACAGCUCAACUGUGGGCUUGCGGUCGAUACGGGCAGGCUAGAGUUCGGUAGGGGAGACUGGAAUUCCUGGUGUAGCGGUGAAAUGCGCAGAUAUCAGGAGGAACACCGGUGGCGAAGGCGGAUCUCUGGGCCGAUACUGACGCUGAGGAGCGAAAGCGUGGGGAGCAAACAGG